rnacentral:rRNA from 1 species
GAGCGAACGCUGGCGGCAGGCCUAACACAUGCAAGUCGAACGAACCUUUCGGGGUUAGUGGCGGACGGGUGAGUAACACGUGGGAACGUGCCUUUAGGUUCGGAAUAACUCAGGGAAACUUGUGCUAAUACCGAAUGUGCCCUUCGGGGGAAAGAUUUAUCGCCUUUAGAGCGGCCCGCGUCUGAUUAGCUAGUUGGUUGAGGUAAUGGCUCACCAAGGCGACGAUCAGUAGCUGGUCUGAGAGGAUGAUCAGCCACAUUGGGACUGAGACACGGCCCAAACUCCUACGGGAGGCAGCAGUGGGGAAUCUUGCGCAAUGGGCGAAAGCCUGACGCAGCCAUGCCGCGUGAAUGAUGAAGGUCUUAGGAUUGUAAAAUUCUUUCACCGGGGACGAUAAUGACGGUGCCCGGAGAAGAAGCCCCGGCUAACUUCGUG